rnacentral:rRNA from 1 species
AAUCCAUAGGUUAAUGAGGCGAACCGGGGGAACUGAAACAUCUAAGUACCCCGAGGAAAAGAAAUCAACCGAGAUUCCCCCAGUAGCGGCGAGCGAACGGGGAGGAGCCCAGAGCCUGAAUCAGCAUGUGUGUUAGUGGAAGCGUCUGGAAAGGCGCGCGAUACAGGGUGACAGCCCCGUACACAAAAGCGCAUGUGCUGUGAGCUCGAUGAGUAGGGCGGGACACGUGGUAUCCUGUCUGAAUAUGGGGGGACCAUCCUCCAAGGCUAAAUACUCCUGACUGACCGAUAGUGAACCAGUACCGUGAGGGAAAGGCGAAAAGAACCCCGGCGAGGGGAGUGAAAAAGAACCUGAAACCGUGUACGUACAAGCAGUGGGAGCACAGGUUUACCUGUGUGACUGCGUACCUUUUGUAUAAUGGGUCAGCGACUUAUAUUCUGUAGCAAGGUUAACCGUAUAGGGGAGCCGUAGGGAAACCGAGUCUUAACCGGGCGUUAAGUUGCAGGGUAUAGACCCGAAACCCGGUGAUCUAGCCAUGGGCAGGUUGAAGGUUGGGUAACACUAACUGGAGGACCGAACCGACUAAUGUUGAAAAAUUAGCGGAUGACCUGUGGCUGGGGGUGAAAGGCCAAUCAAACCGGGAGAUAGCUGGUUCUCCCCGAAAGCUAUUUAGGUAGCGCCUCGUGAAUUCAUCUCCGGGGGUAGAGCACUGUUUCGGCUAGGGGGCCAUCCCGGCUUACCAACCCGAUGCAAACUGCGAAUACCGGAGAAUGUUAUCACGGGAGACACACGGCGGGUGCUAACGUCCGUCGUGAAGAGGGAAACAACCCAGACCGCCAGCUAAGGUCCCAAAGUCAUGGUUAAGUGGGAAACGAUGUGGGAAGGCCCAGACAGCCAGGAUGUUGGCUUAGAAGCAGCCAUCAUUUAAAGAAAGCGUAAUAGCUCACUGGUCGAGUCGGCCUGCGCGGAAGAUGUAACGGGGCUAAACCAUGCACCGAAGCUGCGGCAGCGACGCUGAUGCGUUGUUGGGUAGGGGAGCGUUCUGUAAGCCUGUGAAGGUGGCCUGUGAGGGUUGCUGGAGGUAUCAGAAGUGCGAAUGCUGACAUAAGUAACGAUAAAGCGGGUGAAAAGCCCGCUCGCCGGAAGACCAAGGGUUCCUGUCCAACGUUAAUCGGGGCAGGGUGAGUCGACCCCUAAGGCGAGGCCGAAAGGCGUAGUCGAUGGGAAACGGGUUAAUAUUCCCGUACUUGGUGUUACUGCGAAGGGGGGACGGAGAAGGCUAUGUUGGCCGGGCGACGGUUGUCCCGGUUUAAGCGUGUAGGUGUGUGUUCCAGGUAAAUCCGGUUCACUUUAACACUGAGGCGUGAUGACGAGGCACUACGGUGCUGAAGCAACAA